GUGCUCAUUUUGGUAGCACAUACACUAAAAUUGGAACGACACAGAGAUGAUUAGUAUGGCCCCUGAGCGAGGAAAUUAUGUCAUUUUUGUUACAAGACACAGUAAAAU
ensembl:snRNA U6 U6 spliceosomal RNA